rnacentral:rRNA from 1 species
AGGGCGGGACACGUGUUAUCCUGUCUGAAUAUGGGGGGACCAUCCUCCAAGGCUAAAUACUCCUGACUGACCGAUAGUGAACCAGUACCGUGAGGGAAAGGCGAAAAGAACCCCUGUGAGGGGAGUGAAAUAGAACCUGAAACCGUGUACGUACAAGCAGUAGGAGCACCUUCGUGGUGUGACUGCGUACCUUUUGUAUAAUGGGUCAGCGACUUAUAUUCAGUGGCAAGGUUAACCAUCUAGGGGAGCCGUAGGGAAACCGAGUCUUAACUGGGCGCCAUAGUCUCUGGAUAUAGACCCGAAACCGAGUGAUCUAGCCAUGGGCAGGUUGAAGGUUGAGUAACAUCAACUGGAGGACCGAACCGACUAAUGUUGAAAAAUUAGCGGAUGACUUGUGGCUAGGGGUGAAAGGCCAAUCAAACUCGGAGAUAGCUGGUUCUCCCCGAAAGCUAUUUAGGUAGCGCCUCGGACGAAUACUACUGGGGGUAGAGCACUGUUAAGGCUAGGGGGUCAUCCCGACUUACCAACCCUUUGCAAACUCCGAAUACCAGUAAGUACUAUCCGGGAGACACACGGCGGGUGCUAACGUCCGUCGUGGAGAGGGAAACAACCCAGACCGCCAGCUAAGGUCCCAAAUUACAGCUAAGUGGGAAACGAUGUGGGAAGGCUUAGACAGCUAGGAUGUUGGCUUAGAAGCAGCCAUCAUUUAAAGAAAGCGUAAUAGCUCACUAGUCGAGUCGGCCUGCGCGGAAGAUGUAACGGGGCUAAGUUGUAAACCGAAGCUGCGGCAAUAUCUUUUAGAUAUUGGGUAGGGGAGCGUUCUGUAAGCCGUUGAAGGUGUGUUGUAAAGCAUGCUGGAGGUAUCAGAAGUGCGAAUGCUGACAUGAGUAACGACAAGGGGGGUGAAAAACCUCCCCGCCGGAAGACCAAGGGUUCCUGUCCAACG